CUCACACGUGCGCACAGUAGCCGGCGCAACUGCAUGGCUCCCCGCCACUGCGGGUUUGCGCAUAGACAAGCGUGGACGCAGCAGCCUAACAGGUCUACAGACUGGACCUUUGAGGCGACUCCUGCUCACUAUAGUUUUGUUUGUUGUGCUCAGGAACGUGCACACAUAGGAGUGAAAGGGGGCUGGAGCCCCUGCCCUUUUCCUCACCUGCCCCUCUAGUGCCCUCACAAAAGGAGCUGCAGACUCAGGGUGACAGGUGAAGUAAAAAGGAUCCGUUGCUGGGGAGUUGUAUGUGGUUUAAUGGAGGGUGCUGUGCAAGGGGGCGCCACUCACCCUGUCAUUAUCUGCCAUUUCUUUGCUUCUCUCCACACAGAGGAGACAGGAGCAGAGGAGGCAGAGAGAAGCCCCGCCCACAGCAUGUCCGGACACAACUUCAGUCUAUGCAGCCCUUACUCAUGUAAGCAUAUAUUAGUGUGGUGUCCAUCUCUUCAGUGUAAGAACCAGAGCAGUGUGAAGAUUCCUGCAUAAGGUCACUGUCUCCUUCCAUGCCCCUGAGGAAGACAUUUUAUCUAUGUCAGAAACGCGUCGGCCAGAAUUUGGAGACGUGUAUUAAGAUAGUGACUCUAUCUUCGUUAUUAUGAGCUAUGAGAAACAUAUUACUUUAACAGUUGUCUAUUU